UAUUUAUUGCAUUCAUUUGUAUAUAUUUGCAUUUACUGUUUGCAUUUAUUGUUUGCAUUUAUUGUUCGCAUUAAUGUUUGCAUUCAUUCAUAUUCAUCUGCUGGUUGUGCUGUGUUCUCUUUGUUUGGGGUGGGAGUUACUCGAGGUAAAAGGCCCAAUACCCAGGCCAUGAGUGAAAUCUAGGAUACCUAGGAAUAGAGUGAUUCAUGGGAAGCGGGUGGUAUUGCGCCACUUAGCGGAACAUUGAUAUCACGAGCAGUUCAGACCCUGGUGGGAUAUU
rnacentral:lncRNA from 1 species